AUGCUCAAACCGGAACUGCUAGAGGAACGAAUUUUCAAUAGCAUAACUUGGGCUCCUAGAAUAUGGCGCCCUUGGGACAAUCUAUUUGAUUGCAGGGUUUUGUUUCGAAGCAAAGAUAUCCGCGGAGGCCGGUUCGUUCGUCCUAUUCUGAUAUUCAGGACCAAGAGGUACUGGAUUCUCUUUCGGAUAGGCCCUGAAAGGAGAAGAAAGGCUGAAAUGCCAACGGACCUCUGUCUAUUCUCUAAUUCACCCGAUCCGAUAGUACCCGUUUUUGGAACGUCCAAAAAUUCUUUCGAUUUCGAUUAG
rnacentral:rRNA from 1 species